UCGGGAAUUUUGGGCAAUGGGCGAAAGCCUGACCCAGCAACGCCGCGUGAGGGAUGAAGUAUUUCGGUAUGUAAACCUCGAAAGAAUGGGAAGAAUAAAUGACGGUACCAUUUAUAAGCUCCGGCCAACUACGUGCCAGCAGCCGCGGUAAUACGUAGGGAGCAAGCGUUGUUCGGAUUUACUGGGCGUAAAGGGCGCGUAGGCGGCGCGGUAAGUCACUUGUGAAAUCUCUGAGCUUAACUCAGAACGGCCAAGUGAUACUGCUGUGCUAGAGUGCGGAAGAGGCAACCGGAAUUCUUGGUGUAGCGGUGAAAUGCGUAGAUAUCAAGAGGAACACCUGAGGCGAAGGCGGGUUGCUGGGCCGACAUUGACGCUGAUGCGCGAAAGCCAGGGGAGCAAACG
rnacentral:rRNA from 1 species